rnacentral:tRNA from 1 species
CACCCUGUAGCUCAGUUGGUAGAGCAUGGUGUUUGCAACGCCAGGGUUGUGGGUUCGAUUCCCAAGAUGG